GUUAUUGAUCUAGUGAGACGUCUAAAACUCCCGACGUUGUCUGUCACACCCUGCACACAGACACAUCUGUCUGAUACUAUACUGUACAGUAGCUGGGAUGAUUUUUCCCUGUCGACUGUUCAAUCACACAGGCCCCACUUCAUCGCAGUGCACUGUCAAGAGGUGGGCGGGAAGAACUACGAAGCGUCCAUGUCACACGUGGAUUGUUUUGUCAAGGAGCUGCUGUCCAGUGAUGCCAUGAAGGAGUACAACAGAGUCCGUGUCUACCUCGACGAGAACUACAAAUCCCAGGAGCAUUUCACAGCACUAGGAAGUUGCUACUUCCUUCACGAAUCAUUGAAAAACAUCCAGCAGUUUGAUUUCAAAGCCAAGAAAUUCAAGAAGGUGGUUGGGAAAGAGAUCUACUCAGACACACUAGAGAGCACACCCAUGUUGGAGAAGGAGAAGUUUCCUCAGGACUACUUCCCUGAGUGCAAGUGGUCCAGAAAAGGCUUUAUCAGGACUCGAUGGGCUCUGGCUGACUGUGCUUUUGACCUGGUCAACAUCCACUUGUUCCACGAUGCCUCCAACAUACUGAAGGCCCUGGCCCUACAGACAGAACAUCCAGGGCUACGGAUCACUGACCAGAGGUUUGAAAAGGUGCCAUAUUUUGUCUUCGGAGACUUCAACUUCAGGUUGGAUACAAGGCAGGUUGUUGAGAGUCUGUGCUCCACUGCCACCAUGCAGACGGUCAGACUAGGUGACACCAAUGAAGUUGACAAGCUAAUAUUCAGAGAAUCUGAGAACGAUCGCAAGGUUGUACUUCAACUUGAAAAGAAGCUUUUCAAUUAUAUUAACCAGGAUGUUUUCCGGGAAAACAAUGGGACCCUGUUUUUACAGUUUGACAGUGAGCUGUCCUGUUUCAAGGAACGGCUGCACGAGCUGGAGAUAUCCUUUCCUCCCAGUUAUCCGUACAGUGAAGACAGCAGUCAGGGAAAGCAGUACAUGAACACUAGAUGCCCUGCCUGGUGUGACCGCGUCCUUAUGUCUGCCACAGCUAAAGACCUGGUCUUAAAGCCUGAAAAUGAGGAGAAGAACUUGGUCUAUGACAAUAUAGGGCCCAACGUCUGCAUGGGGGACCAUAAGCCUGUCUACCUGUCCUUUCGUUUAACAACCGGGGCAGGUAAAGCUAAUGCAAAUAAGCACAAGUGUUGUAACGUGCAGUGAUGUCUUG
rnacentral:lncRNA from 1 species